rfam:Thermosinus carboxydivorans Nor1 ctg52, whole genome shotgun sequence.
GCGGUUGUGGCGGAACUGGCAGACGCACCAUCUUGAGGGGGUGGCGCCCAAAAGGCGUGUGAGUUCAAAUCUCACCAACCGCA